rnacentral:rRNA from 1 species
GACGAACGCUGGCGGCGUGCUUAACACAUGCAAGUCGAACGGAAAGGCCCUGCUUGCAGGGUGCUCGAGUGGCGAACGGGUGAGUAACACGCGGGUGAUCUGCCCCUUACUUUGGGAUAAGCCUGGGAAACUGGGUCUAAUACUGGAUAGGACCAUGCUGUAGGUGGUGUGGUGGAAAGAUUAGUUUCGGUAAGGGAUGAGCUCGCGGCCUAUCAGCUUGUUGGUGGGGUAAUGGCCUACCAAGGCGUCGACGGGUAGCCGGCCUGAGAGGGUGGACGGCCACAUUGGGACUGAGAUACGGCCCAGACUCCUACGGGAGGCAGCAGUGGGGAAUAUUGCACAAUGGGCGCAAGCCUGAUGCAGCGACGCCACGUGGGGGAUGACGGCCUUCGGGUUGUAAACUCCUUUCAGCCAUGACGAAGCCCUUGUGGUGACGGUAGUGGUAGAAGAAGCACCGGCUAACUACGUG